CAUUGAACUAUAAAUAAACUGGAAGGCUAACUCAGGGGGGGAAAUUGAAGCCAGUGCAUUUUAGUUUUUCUGAGUUAUGAGCAGAAAUACUCAACAUUGAACGUUGGGCUAUAUAUCAAAUUGAAGCUAUUGAAAAACGCUAUUUGGUGUAGAAAUUUCAAGUCUUUAGCUAAAAGGGAAAUAUCGAAAAACUACAAACAUAAUUACCGAUAAUUUGCCGUUUUGCAGUUGUUUUUGUAUUUUUUAAAUAUUUUUCUUUUCGCUGAAGUCUUGAAAUUUCCACACCGAAUAGCCAUUUUCAAUAGCUUCAAUUUGAUAUAUAGCCCGACGAUUGGG